rnacentral:rRNA from 1 species
UAUUGGGCGUAGAAGCGCGCGCAGGUGGUUCCUUAAGUCUGAUGUGAAAGCCCGCGGCUCAACCGUGGAGGGUCAUUGGAAACUGGGGAACUUGAGUGCAGAAGAGGCAAGUGGAAUUCCAAGUGUAGCGGUGAAAUGCGUAGAGAUUUGGAGGAACACCAGUGGCGAAGGCGACUUUCUGGUCUGUAACUGACACUGAGGCGCGAAAGCGUGGGGAGCAAACAGGAUUAGAUACCCUGGUAGUCCACGCCGUAAACGAUGAGUGCUAAGUGUUAGAGGGUUUCCGCCCUUUAGUGCUGCAGCUAACGCAUUAAGCACUCCGCCUGGGGAGUACGGCCGCAAGGCUGAAACUCAAAGGAAUUGACGGGGGCCCGCACAAGCGGUGGAGCAUGUGGUUUAAUUCGAAGCAACGCGAAGAACCUUACCAGGUCUUGACAUCCUCUGACAACCCUAGAGAUAGGGCUUUCCCCUUCGGGGGACAGAGUGACAGGUGGUGCAUGGUUGUCGUCAGCUCGUGUCGUGAGAUGUUGGGUUAAGUCCCGCAACGAGCGCAACCCUUGAUCUUAGUUGCCAGCAUUCAGUUGGGCACUCUAAGGUGACUGCCGGUGACAAACCGGAGGAAGGUGGGGAUGACGUCAAAUCAUCAUGCCCCUUAUGACCUGGGCUACACACGUGCUACAAUGGAUGGUACAAAGGGCUGCAAACCUGCGAAGGUAAGCGAAUCCCAUAAAGCCAUUCUCAGUUCGGAUUGCAGGCUGCAACUCGCCUGCAUGAAUCCGGAAUCGCUAGUAAUCGCGAAUCACCAUGCCGCGGUGAAUACGUUCCCGGGCCUUGUACACACCGCCCGUCACACCACGAGAGUUUGUAACACCCGAAGUCGGUGAGGUAACCUUCAUGGAGCCAGCCGCCUAAGGUGGGACAGAUGAUUGGGGUGA